GUCGAGUCGGCCUGCGCGGAAGAUAUAACGGGGCUAAGUAUUGUGCCGAAGCUGCGGAUGCAAUUUAUUGCAUGGUAGAGGAGCGUUCUGUACGCCUGUGAAGGUGAGUCGAGAGGCUUGCUGGAGGUAUCAGAAGUGCGAAUGCUGACAUGAGUAACGACAAGGGGGGUGAAAAACCUCCCCGCCGGAAGAUCAAGGUUUCCUGCGCAACGCUAAUCGGCGCAGGGUG
rnacentral:rRNA from 11 species